rnacentral:rRNA from 1 species
UAACGCGUAUAGAACCUACCUUUUACAGAGGAAUAGCCUUUAGAAAUGAAGAUUAAUGCCUCAUAGUAUUGUAGACUGGCAUCAGUUUAUAAUUAAAGAUUUAUCGGUAAAAGAUGGCUAUGCGUCCUAUUAGUUAGUUGGUAAGGUAACGGCUUACCAAGACAGCGAUAGGUAGGGGUCCUGAGAGGGAGAUCCCCCACACUGGUACUGAGACACGGACCAGACUCCUACGGGAGGCAGCAGUGAGGAAUAUUGGACAAUGGAGGAGACUCUGAUCCAGCCAUGCCGCGUGUAGGAAGAAUGCCCUAUGGGUUGUAAACUACUUUUAUACAGGAAGAAACACUGGUAUGUAUACCA